UCCCGGUUGGCCCGGGCAGUCUCGCAUGAAAAAUACAACAUACGAUAAGGGUUGCGCUCGUUGCGGGACUUAACCCAACAUCUCACGACACGAGCUGACGACGGCCAUGCAGCACCUGUCACCUGGCUCCCGAAGGCACCCCACUGUUUCCAGCGGGUCCCAGGGAUGUCAAGCCUCGGUAAGGUUCUACGCGUAGCGUCAUAUUAAACCACAUCCUCCUCUGCUUGUGCGGGUCCCCGUCAAUUCCUUUGAGUUUUAGCCUUGCGGCCGUACUUCCCAGGCGGCAUACUUAUCGCGUUAGCUUCGACGCACAGGGGGUCGAUACCCCAUACGUCUAGUAUGCAUCGUUUACGGCGUGGACUAC
rnacentral:misc_RNA from 1 species